rnacentral:misc_RNA from 1 species
AACUAUUACCGUUGCCUGCAAACGCUGCUGCUCCUGUCGCAAGAAGAUGCGCGUCAGCCGCUGCAAUAUCUCAAUGCUUUUAUAAAAAUGUAUGGCGCGGAGGCUGUAGAAGCCGCCAGCGCUGCGCUUAGUGGUGAAGCGGCUUUUUAUGGACUACCGGCUGUCGACCACGAUCUACAAGCGUUUCCGGCGCAUCAGUCCUUGUUAAAAGCGUAUGAUAAAUUACAGAGCGCGAAAGCGGCAUACUGGUCAAAAU